UACGGAGGGUGCUAGCGUUGUUCGGAAUUACUGGGCGUAAAGCGCGUGUAGGCGGCCCGCUAAGUCUGAUGUGAAAGCCCGGGGCUCACCCCCGGAAGUGCAUUGGAGACUGGCGGGCUAGAGUCCCGGAGAGGAGGGUGGAAUUCCUGGUGUAGCGGUGAAAUGCGUAGAUAUCAGCAGGAACACCCGUGGCGAAGGCGGCCCCCUGGGCCGUACCUGACGCUGAGGCGCGAAGGCUAGGGGAGCGAACGGG
rnacentral:rRNA from 1 species